rnacentral:siRNA from 1 species
UAAAAAUGCUCGUUAGUCCCUA